CACUACAAGAAAAGAGCCUCCACUCCGACAAUAAUUUCCGUGAAUGUUAGUCAUCGGAAACUUUGCUUCGCUGUUACUAGAAAUUACCGAGAAUCUAUCAAUUUUAUCGGCUACUUCUCGGAUAUUUCCGAGGAACAAUAUUUGUCGGAAUAUGGUUACAACGGGUUAUCGGAAUCUUGUUGGAACUAAAAAUAAUUCCCGAGAAUUUGUUUUUCAUCGGAAAAUUUGUUGGUACGCUCUCGGAGAUUACUGACAACAACAAAGUCUCAGAAACUUGUCGGAGAAUUUGACGGGAAAUCACCGGAAGAGUUGAAGUGGAUACGUGUCACCAUUGCAAUAGUUUCCGAGAAGUGAUCCGGUGCCGAUAAUUGCUCGGAGGAGAACGAUGGCUCUGUUCUGUACAUGGUCCAACAGAGUGUCUUUGUACGGCGAGGGAUGGGUGGUCCAACAGAGUGUCUUUUCCACUUUCUUAUUUCUUCUUCUCAACUAAUUUUCGGCAAGGUAGACGCCUGCGGUGGUUAGAUCCUCACGGCGUUUUGGUGGCAGAUCUGGCGUUCCAAGGAUUGAAGAUGACUUCUUCUUCGGGGAGGUGGUUAGGGCUUAUGUGUAUCCGGUUUGUUUUGGUUUUUAUAUCAGAUUUUGUUUUCUGUAAACCACUUUUCUCUGGUUAGGGUUGGUUUAGACAUUAAUGUAAUAUUAUUUUAAAAUGCUAUUUGUGUUUACUCA